GACAGAGGGUGCAAGCGUUGUUCGGAAUUAUUGGGCGUAAAGCGCGCGUAGGCGGCGGCGUAAGUCGGAUGUGAAAGCCCAGGGCUCAACCGUGGAAGUGCAUCCGAUACUACGUUGCUUGAGUGCCGGAGAGGGUGGUGGAAUUCCCAGUGUAGAGGUGAAAUUCGUAGAUAUUGGGAGGAACACCUGUGGCGAAGGCGGCCACCUGGACGGACACUGACGCUGAGGUGCGAAAGCGUGGGGAG
rnacentral:rRNA from 1 species